CAUUGUCUUAAAAAUGUCUUAAGGGGGGCGCCUGGGUGGCUCAGUUGGUUAAGCGUCCGACUUCGGCUCAGGUCAUGAUCUCGCGGUCUGUGAGUUCAAGCCCCGCAUCAGGCUCUGGGCUGACAGCUCAGAGCCUGGAGCCUGUUUCGGAUUCUGUGUCUCCCUCUCUCUCUGACCCUCCCCUGCUCAUGCUCUGUCUCUCUCUGUCUCAAAAAUAAAUAAGUGUUAAAAAAAAAAAAGUCAUUGUCAAAUCAAAUGUCAUAUUUAAAAAAAAAUGUCUUAAGGUAGAAGUGAAGGUUCCUUUUUUUGCACGUUUCUCGAGUUGUUCCAGUACGAUCUAUUGAAAAGACUUUCCUUUCCCCAUUGAAUUGCUUUGGCGCCUUUGUUGCAAAUCCGUUGUCCAUAUAUGUGUUGGUCUUUUCAAAGGAACCUGAAGAAUGUUUGCAUAGACCACGUGUGACAUGCACUUAAGUCUAGGAAAUGAGUUCACAUUGGCCAACUGUAAUAAGCCUGAAGUGGCUGACUGCCUUAAACUUCUAUAUCAUGGAACAUUUGUGUUAAAGGUCACUGACAGACACAUAUGGGGGGCGCUUUUUGCUUGCUAACCCAGCUGAGACUUCCAGAAGUCCCAGUGUUCCCACACUAAAUAUAAGGCUCUUAUCUUCAAAGAGAAAAUACCAUCAAGUCUGUGAGACCCAGCCUCAGCCUGCAGGCAACUUCGCAGAGAACUAAAUAGUAAUUUUUCUUAUUUGAAAACUGGAUAUGCAUGAAUUUAACAUAAGUGAUUUGGAACUCAUUAUAGUUAAGUGUGGGUCCGACUGAAAAAAUAUUACUCUUAGGAAGGAGAUUUUUCAUAAUGUAAAGAAGCUUGUGAAUAAAAAUUUGUUCUAAUAACUUGUGCACAUUGUGUGCAGAAACAGAUUUGCUGACUUUAAACGAGUGUUGCCUAUGAGUAGAAUCUCUACCUGGAAAGGUUUUUGUAAACAGUUUUACAUAGUAUUUUUACUUGAAUAUAGUAAAAAAACCAUUUUAUUUUAAAAGAUGCCUUAAUUUGAAAACCAAAGGAUGAAUAGAGGAAACAUACCAAAGUUACCCAGGUAGAAUAAAUGGUGAUAGUCUCUUUUUUGAUACCUUGAUUUUUAGAAUCUUAGCAUUCGUGUUUUCAUGGUAUGGCACUGGAGCUCAGCGCUUGAGCACAUGACUGACGCUGGCCUGUCUGGGUUGGGCCACCAGCUCUCCUAGUCAUCACAGGCAACGGACUUAAGCCUCUGUGUCUCCCCCUAAAACUUGGAGAAUAAGAGUGUCUGAAGGAAGUUCAGACUUAGAGCUGAGCAGGCUCAUAGUGAACCCUAUGUAACUUUUGGCCAGUCGUAACAUAUUACUUUCAUGAUAAAAACAUAUGCAAAAAGGAAAUUUUUUUAGAAAGAAAAAGCUAUAAAGCAAAAGUAAAUGGUCCGGACACCUCGCUGUUCAUAGUAGACUUCCCAGUUGGUUGUGUUGGUCAGAUUUUACUGUUAAUUCCCAUUCUCCCCCAGAAGGGGGUAGAACUAAGGGAUUUUCUUUGGAGCUCCUUGGGAGAUGUUUGCCCUCGAAAUACAAGAGGCACUCCAUGCUAAUUGCUAGACUUACUCUUGUCUCCGUAAAAAGAUUUUCCAAGGAAAGCUAUUCUUUCAAGCUCAUGUCUUCCUCUCCUCCUGCUUUGCUCAGUUAACUCAAGUAUAACACAUCCACUCACUUGAAAUACCACUUUUGCUAGUCCUGUGUUUGGACUUGCACAGCCGUGCUCAGCUCCUGGCCCCUGUUUUUGCUUUCUCCAGCAAUUUCCCGGUCAGAGCGGGAACUAGAGCCGAGUCUCGGAAAAGUGGCCGCGAUGGGCCUUUUUGCCUGCUCGUCUUCCAAACAGGACGUUGGAAGGGGGGAGGUGUCUGACCCUCACUGUAAUCCUGUGGGCACACGUAGCAGGGUUGAUGAUACCCGGCAGCAAGAUCCAGCUGGGGCUAAACGUGAAGGUUGCCAACGCACUGUUGAUGAUGUAAUUCCAGGUGAGAUACGAUGUUUUUGUCACACGUGCAAACCAGGUUUGCCCAUAGAAGGAAGUGUGAGCCUUCUCCACAUGGUCACAGGAUGGCCAUCAUAGUUCAUGUGAAGCAUUUGUCUUUGUUGUGCACAUAUGGUUAAGGCUUGAGGAAAACUGAUACUAUUACAGCUGACUUACCUGAUCUUAUGAUAUUGGAGAUGAGACUUCUCAUGAGGUCUGCUCAGUGCAGUCCAGUUCUUGUUUAUGUUCUCGGUGAUUUUUGGUAAAGGCUACAGGUGCAUAGAAUCCUUGCCUGUGGCUCUCCUGAGCUGACAUUCUGCAAGGUGACUUUUCCUCCCUGCUGUCCCCGCCCAUCUCGUCCCCCAGCAGCUCCCGCAAGCACUUGUUGGCUCCCUCCUCCACCUCACUUCCUUCUGCAGCCGCUCCUGCGUCACAGGCGAGCUCACUUGGUUGGGUUCUCGCCCUGUCAACAAGCUUCGUCCGCACCUGCCUCGCCUCUGGUUGCAGCGGAAGAGGAGUCUUUCCUUAUGCCCACAUCUCCAGAUCGCAGCCCCAGCUUCCCGCACCUUCUCAGAGACGUUCUCUCUGACCUGAUACCUGCCAUUCACUUUUUCCUAUGCACAUUUAAACCUACACACGUCUCGGGGCGCCUGGGUGGCUCAGUCGGUUGAGCGUCCAACUUCGGCUCAGGUCAUGAUCUCGAGGUUUGUGAGUUCGAGCCCCGCGUCGGGCUCUGUGCUGACAGCUCAGAGCCUGGAGCCUGCUUCGGAUUCUGUGUCUCCGUCUCUCUCUGCCCCUUUCCUGCUCACACUCUGUCUCUCUCUCAAAAAUAAACAUGAAAAAAAAAUUUAAACCUACGCAUCUCACUAAACGCACUCGGGCGCGCACACACACACACACACAGGACUUCAGUAUUGCCUUGCUUUUUGGCUCCCUCUCUGUUUACUUGUCCUGCUAGGGCCAAACUUCUUGGAAGAAUUGCCUCUAUUGCUGCCUCCUCUUUCUCUCACUCCCGCCCCCUCCUCCGGGUGCUCCAGGUUGGCUCUCGUAUCUGUGACCAAACUGGUACUGCUCCAGCCAGAGCUGGAGGCGGCCUCCCUGUCCUGCUGUUGCCACGUGGACCAGAUACGUUUGGAUUCUCACCUUCCAGGACCUCACGACAGUGACGGUGUUUGGUGUCCUGUCCUCUUUGGCCUCCAGGACCCUGCCUUGCCCCUUCAGCUUGUUCUCCCUGUUGCCUUCGUUCUUUCCAGCUGUCUCUAAGCUCCAUGCUUUGUGUUCAGAUGCUAAUGGGACAUUUCCGCUUUGAUAUCUUGCUGGCAUCUCCUAUCCAACAGGUUCCAAACGGAUCCAAGUUACCCAGGCUUGAAACCUGCGGCUUCCUGACCCUUCUCUCUCCUCCCCUUCCAAAUCCACAAAGAAACUGAGUCUGGUCAAGUUCUUGAAUCCGUCCGCUUUGUCUGCAGUGUGUCCUUCCUGUUUUUCAUCACCUUUGACCACAGUUCUUGCCUUUGCACCUGUCUCCCUGCGAUUGGUAUUCUCUCCCAAUCCGCUCUGCAUUUCGGCGUCUUCCUGACUGCAUCCAGAGUGAGGCCUCUAAAAAGCAUCUGUGUUGUGUCACUUCGUUCCCUGAAUUCUUACCCGUUUCUGUGAUCUCUUCUCGCCAAACUGACUGGGGCCUCUGCGAGGCUUGCAUCCUCACCCCGUGCAUAGAGAAGUCAUCAAAUCACUUAGGAUUUACGCAGAGACGGAGAACAGAGCUACUUUCCCCUCCACACGGCAGAAUUUCAUGGAAACCCUCACUGGACGUCAGUCCCUCCACCCUCCAGAAUUCCUGAUUGCUCCCAGCCCUCCACCCUUCCCCCACUCACCUGUCUGUGCUUCCCAGCCCCGGCCUCCCCCUACCCGUAGUUCUCCUGCCGUUUCCCCACUUCUCUUUUGGUACUCCAAGCAGCUCUGCCCUUUGCUGAACGUUCUGAUCUGAGUUGCAUCCCUGUCUUAGAUUGGGUUCUAAUUAAUUGGUUCAUGGACAGUGCCUAAAACUGCGUGACUCACAGUAGUGAUCAGUCACACUUGCCCCAGUGAUAAUAAUAACAUUUGCUAUUGACAGUAUUACUUCCGACAGGUUUCCAGACCUGUAGACCAGAUGGGAGCCCCCUUUGGGUGUGCCAGUAGCGCCUUGUGCCUCCAUUAAAUCAUAACAGCCAGUUCUCUGAGGGAAGGGUGACGACACCCCGCUCGCCAUCCAGCGCCUAGCCCAGUGCCUGGUGUGGAGUGCACAGUGUGGACUAUGGACGCCAUAAAUACUUCUUGAACGGAUGUAAUAAAAUGAUUCACAGAAAGAACAUUCCAGUUCUGUUCUUAUCUUUAAUAAGGCACUCUUUAAAAAAUAAGACUUAACGAACGAAAUGUAAGUGCGUUCUGGGAGUUUGUCAUUAAAUCCCGUGUUACUGAGUGAGCCUGGGCAAACUUUCUGGGUGUCUGUGUCCCCUGAACAGCUUUACCUAAGGGCCUUUGUCCAGCUCCAAAACUCUUCAGGUCUGCAACUGGAGUUCUCAGUAAGGAUGGAGUACAUUUCUAGGACCCAGAGUUUCCUGUGUUCCUUCCCGUUAGCUGAUGAGAAGACGUCAUUGUGUUGCUUGGGCUUGCAGGUUCUUUCCUAGUUGUGGGGAAUUUUUCAAGCUGGCUGUAAUGAGAGGGUCUCAAAAAACCACAGAGAGGUCUGGUAUGUUCUCUUCAAGUGAAACACGACGUCCCUUCUUAUUUUCAGUUUUGAUCUUCUGUGUUACAGAGCUGACUUCUGUAAUUAUCCCUGAAGAAUCUAGUAUUAGAAAUAAGGUCUAGUUUAUUUCAAUACCUGCGCCUUUGACAUCCUUUAAACUCUCUUUCAUCGCCAAAUCAGAAGCCUUCUUCAGGACUUCUGAUUCUAACGAUUUUGGUUCUUUCAAGUAUAUAUAUGUAUAAUUAACUGUAAACUAUGCACAGCAUAAAAUGCAGUCUUCACAUUUGUAAGUGCGCAGGUCCGGGGCAUCAAGUACAUUCACAUUGUUGAACAGCUGUCAGCAUCAUCUCUCUCCAGAACCCUUUGGUCUUGCGAGACUGAAACUCCACACCCAUUAAGCGCUAACCCCUCUUUUCCCCUCCCCCAGCCCCUGGCAACCACUAUUCUGCUUUCUGUCUGUGGACUGACUACUGUAGGUACCUCAUUUCAGUGGAGUCACACAGUCCUUGUCCUCUUGCCACUGGCUUAUUCCACUUCGCGUAGUAUCCUCAAGGUUCAACCUUAUUGCAGGAGGUGUCAGAGUUGCCUUACUGUCUAGGGCUGAAUAAUAUUCCAUCGCGUUUAUAGACCACAUUUUGUUUAUCCAUUCAUUCGCUGGUGGGCACUUGGGUUGCUUCCAGCUUUUGGCUGUUAGGAGUAAUGCUGCUGUGAACAUAGAUACGCAUGUGUCUCUUCGAGACCCUUCGAAUUAUUUUGGAUAAUGACUUUUUGAACCUUCUGUCUUGAUGCUUCUGUUGUUUUCAUGAACUCCUGCCCUUCCUCUUUUGGCCACUAAACUACCCCUCUCCCAUCAGCUUUCUUCACUAUUUUCCUAAUAAUGUCCUGCUGUUGGGAUGGAUCCUCAUGCUUCAAGAUGACCCUCACAGAACCACUGCAUGGAGAAACACUGACGUCUGAGAAGUAGGAUUUGUUCGCACCUCCGACACUCCCAUCGAUUCCUGCUGUUUUCUGAAAGAGCGGCUGCACCAGUUUGCAUUCCCACCAACAGGGCAAGAGGGUUCCCGUUUCUCCACAUCCUCUCCGGCAUCUGUAGUCUCUUGAUUUAUUCAUUUUGGCCCCUCUGACUGGCGUGAGACAGGCAUUUAAGUACCAGAAAGUUAAUGGCACAGAAUACUGCUGACUGCGUGGUUCUCGUCUUAAUGCGUUUUCCAACCUUGAACCUGAGAAUACCAGAGGCUGGGGACUCUGGACACUCAUCUGCGCAGUUUUCUGCCGGUGGCCUGGUUCCUGAGGUAACAAGUGGGUGUCCCGGGCGUGUGUGUGUGUUAACAACAGCAGUGAUGCCACGUGGUGCCCAGAGGUCGCCGCGAUCUGUCCUGGGGGUUCCUGGUCCUCGGGGCUUCUGAGAUGAACUGUGAACUUGGGGUAUCCUGAGAAGUACAGGCGUUUUGGAGCGUGCCACAGCAAAUCUGGACGUCGGCAUAAACACAGCUCUCAAAGUGAAAGCAGGGGCCUCCAGGAAGGAAUUACCCUCAUCUCAUUCCCGACCUGCUUACUGUGCUGGAAAACAAAGUAAGUUUUGUUUGUUUCUUUGUUAGUCAGUCGCUGCUACAUGUUUUCUCUUGCUAACAUUGUAUUAGACACUCCAUAUCUGGCAAAUGCCAAGUUUUUCCCCCCUCAUUGGGAAGUAGGAUAUGAAGUUUGUUAAAUAGCUACUUGCUUCUUUAAUCUUUUCUGUCUCUCUUCCUAUAUCUAGCGUGCUGGCUUCCUUGUUGGAGAUCGUAUGAGAUUGAAAUUUAUUAUCAAUGAGAAAACAAAAAGUUCUUUUUUUCUUCUUCUUCUUUUUUAAACAAUCCAAGAACCUUGCUGUUAAUUAAAGGACAAUGACACAGGCAAAACUUUUUUUACGUGGUGCAGCCAGCAGCAUAUCUAGCAAACGAGCCCCGGUUCACUGUCCUUAUUUCCAUUGGGAAGCAGAAAGGGUGCCUGUACGAGACUUAUGUGAAAAUAGAGCGUCCCCGCUGUGGGAACGGCAGACACUGGCUGGGAGUGGUGCCUGAACAAGAGGCCGUAACUUAAAAACCUGUUGGGAAAUGGGAAGGAACUGAAGGAUACGAAUUAUUUAGUGAUGUUGGGGGGAAAAAAAAAACGCCACAAACAGACAGACCUUCUAUAAGAAUGGGAUAAAAUGUAUAAAGACCUAAACUUGUCAAGGAAACUGAUGUUUUCCUUCAAGUUAGAAAGAUUCAUGUUUUGUAGGUUUAUAGAAGAUGUGUGGCUUUCAGAAAAUAAGAGGCAUCACCACCUGUGCAGAUUUUAGGACACCAGCCUAAUUCUGACACUUGACCCCUGUCUUCCAUUUGUGUUUGUUUGUGUUUUAUCUGAUCCUAGCUCCAGAGCUGUGGCAUGGCUCAGUAAAUUAAUACAAAGCUCUAUGGUUUUGAAAAUGCAAAACAAAUGGAAAUGCAGAGUAGUUUAUGAUUUGUAAUUAGAUUAUCCUUCCUCAUAAAAUGGACUGUUGUGACCGUAGAGUUUUCUGGACUUUUCUCAACUCCCAACGGUAACACUUUAAAGGUAGAAGGAGGCGUUGUAACUACGGGGUGGCAUUGGAAGAGCAGAAAUCAGGAAUCUUCCUUCUAAAUCUAGUAUGGAGUACUGAGUGAAUUUCAAGUUAGGGCUUCUGUGCCGUGGGAAUUCACGUUUUAUCUCAACGUGGUGGUGGUAGGACGUGGGGUGUCUGUUUUUCAUUUAAAACCCUCCAGGCUCCUUUUAUGAAUGUCUGUGGAUUAUUCAGCAAACUUCCUUUAAGCACCUUUUUGCAGCGUACUGUACUCAGAGCUGCAGUUUGUCACAAUUAAACCUACCGAGAUUUGGUCUGUCGGUUAAAGAUCCAGAACAGUUUGAAGCCAGGGUGAAUGAGCAGAGCAUUCCCCUCGGAACGGUUUGUUAGAGAUGGUGCCACAUGAGCUGGGCUGUCCGCUUCUGAGCUGCCCUCCUAAUUAAAGGGGAAGGUGCCUGCCAUCUGUCUGCUUUCAUUCAGGGCAGUAGGGGGCCUGGGGUGGAAGGAAGCCACCCCCCUUUAUUUUUUCUCCCACUCUUUUUUACAGUCCUCUUUCUCCCUAGUCAGUGACCCAGAAGGUCAUUGACGAUCUGUCUAUCUCAGACUGAACAGUAACAUAAGCAUGCGAGGCACUUGCAAAAAAAAAAAAAAAAAAGUUUAUAACGUGUGCUUAUCCAUUUAGAAUUCUGCUUGAAUUAUGUCUGGGAGUGUUGUAGUUUCUAUGUUCGUGUCUUUGCUCCUGCUGACUGAGGGCACUACUGGCAGAAAAGUAGGGGUCUUUCGUUGUACUGGUUUUGCUUUUUGUGUGAAAACAUUGUUGGCCCCUCACUGGGCAUAAUCAGAAGAUGGCAACAUCGUAACUGUGCGGCGGGGACAUGCCGAGAUACCGUCCUGAACAAAAUCAGGGCUACCUGUUGACUGUGCUGUGCACGCGUCCUCACAAGGGAGGUUGUGGCCAGGAGUGGUAACACGUGUCUGUGUUACUGAGCGGUGUGCUGAGGCUCACUGGGCCAAUCAUUGAAAUAAUCCAUGGUAUUUAUCCUUUAGUUAGGCAAUAAGCCUUUUAGCCCCUUUCUCAUGAGAAUAGAUCCUUGGAGAACUUGGUUUGGGGUCGUGGCUUUUAAUCGUUUUUGAAAUGUAGGGUGCUCUAACUAAAUGAUUGAGCUUUCUUGCCUCAGUUUCCACCUGGAAGAAAUCUGUGCUGCUUUCAGAAACAUUUAAGAGAAUAUGAAAUAAAAUUUUGUCUUUGAUAAAAACUCUAUUAUCACUGAAAAUUUCUAAAAUCUGCGGUGGUUUUUCUUUUCUGUCCUUAUGUACUUGAGCCAAGUGUCAACCAUCAUUUAAAAAGAUCCAGUCCUUGGGGCGCCUGGGUGGCUCAGUCGGUGAAGCGGCCGACUUCGGCUCAGGUCGCGAUCUCACGGUUCGUGAGUUCGAGCCCCGCGUCGGGCUCUGUGCUGAGAGCUCAGAGCCCGGAGCCUGUUUCAGAUUCUGUGUCUCCCUCUCUCUCUCUGCCCCUCCCCUGUUCACGCUCUGUCUCUCUCUGUCUCAAAAAUAAAUAAAUGUUAAAAAAAAAAAAAGUUUAAGAAGAUUCAGUCCUGACACACUGUAUUGAGCUACCCAGGCAGUAGAUUUGGACUUUCCAGAAUAUACUGGGUUUUGGAACUUUCUGUGACCAGGAACCGUGGUGUCUCUUAAGCCCUCCAUGUUUGGAAAGCCCAAAUGUGAGAGUCAUGUCUGUAAUUUUAUUUAAAGGUUUGUUUGGUUUUUUUUUUUCCAAUUUGUCAUCAACUUAUAAUGAGCUUCCUCGUCGAUGUGCUUAUGUUGUUCAAUCUGGGAAGAGCAGCAUGUAGGUUCUGGAGACAAUGACGUCAGUCUGCAUGAUUGGAUGAUGAUGAAAAGUAGAUCGUUUCCCAGGCACUGACGGGUGCACAGUGCCGAAUAGGCAGGUCUUUUCAUCUUUUUUAUGUAACAAUUUUAGAUACCCAGCAAGGUACUUCGCUAACUGUCGUCUCUAAGGUGUGGUUUAAAGCUAAUUUGGUUUUACUCAUCUUGUAUUUACUUCGGGGGAUCUAAGUAAACAAUUUAAAUGAAUCACAUCUAGAAAGCGUUCCUUCAAAGUAACGCAAUUAAUAUUUUAACGCACGUAGCAAAAGACACACAGACAUGCAAAUGAAUGUUGCCUCCUUAAGUACCGUGUCAGCUAGGAAGAAGUUAAGCCGCUACUUAACUGCAGCCAUGUCAUGUUGUCUUUGCCAGAGACACACGUAGAACUUGCUGUUUGCUGGUGCCUUGAGAGCCUUCCAUCCUUUUUUAUUGCCCACUGUGGUAGAAAUUCUCUGUCCUUUGAGGGACAGGAAGGAGACAGUAAUCAGGUCUGAUGAACAGACUUACGAUCACAUUACCGACUGGUGUCACUGGUUCAUGUAAACGUUUACGGAGGCACCUACUACAUUCCAGCCAUGAGGACUGCAGAUUCAGAAAUGGACGUGCCAUGGACCUGGCCCUCCAGGAAGACACAGCUCAGUGGGGUAAAUGAUGUCUAAGGAGGUAACGCUACAUACCGACAAGGACUGUGACAGAGGCACAUGUGGUGUUGCGAGGGCCCAGAGAUGGGGUUAAAAUCAAACUUGUUGGAAAAAUGAGAGUUGUGCACGUGAUUUAUAAAGGGCAUUACAUAAUAGCAUUUGGGAAAUGAAAGCCCUGGGAGCUGGGGGGAGGGGGGACCUUUUCUAUUUUAAGGAUGAGGAGCUUGGAAUUCAUUUCUGCAGUAAAUUCUCAGCCGUUUGAAAGCCUUUUGAGAAAAGGUGUUUUGUUCUGUAAAUAAACAUACUUCUUUUUCACCAGAAGAAAUUGUGGCUAUAUAAAAGGGGGGAGGUCUAAAAUUUUGGGGGGGCAUUGUGAGAAUACUUCUGUCAUUCUCCAAAGGAGACUAUUUUGAAGAAUGGUUUUUGUUUACAUAUUAAAAUCAGGUACUUCUGAAAUACUCAAGAUACCAAAGCAUGACAUGCCAUGGUUAUUGCUGAGAUUAGCUGUAUAGCUUGUGGGAGACAUGAAACUUAUGGCAUCUCUAAGUAUAACUUGGAAAAGAAAAGGCUUCUUCAUGUCCUCUCUCAUGUUUCCUGCCCUAGAGACAGAAUUUCUGUCCUGUAGCCAAUAGUAGAUCUUCCUGUGGAUAAGUUCAUUUAACAGUUACUUGUGGAGUGUCCCUCAAUGCCAGGUACGGUUCUAGGAGCCGAUCAGAAGCUGAGCUGAUUAGCUAUAGACCCUGGAUGCUGGUGCUACUCAGAAGGACUCUGCAGGGUUGUACGUGCAGCCGCCAUUUCCUGGGUGUGUUUUCUGAGCAUGGCAGUGUGGGCGUGGCCACGAUGCUAUCCUUGUAGAACUUGGAGUAAGAUUCCGUGCACAGGUGACAGAACGAAUGCAGAGCAAGAGGUGAAUGUAUUAAUACAGAGAGCUAACGAAACAUACCACGUGUUUGCAGAAAAGAAAGCUUGUCUGUGACCAGGAUGAUCACGAAAUCAUUUAUGGAUUAAGGAGCAUUUGAGCUGGACAUUGAAAGAAGAGUCAGGGAGCAUGUUCCAGUCCAAGGAAAGCCAAGCAAAGGCCUAGAGAGGGAUGGGAAAUUCCAGUGUACCGAGCAGGCAGUAACUGAUUUCGUUGUUGCUGGGCAACCAUGUGUGCAAAAGUGACUAAUGAGAGGAUAAGGCCGCCAAGGUCCCUUGAGGCCAGAUCCGGGUGGACCAUGUAUGUCCAACAACUAAAUGCUUUAAACUUGAUCCUGAGCCAUCGGGGAGCAGUGGAAGUGUCCGGUCAGGAGAGUGACAGUGGGAUCUCUCCUGGAGGAAGCCUUGUCUGAUGUCAGUGUGGGGGGUGGUUGGCCAGUGAGAGAAUCCAAGCGGAAGGCAUGUGAGCUGCUGAGACACAGUCCAGGCCAGAGGGGAAGAGGGCCCAGAUGCGGGGGGAUGACUGGAAUGGAGAAAACUAGACAGGUUAAAGAGGUGGGCUUUAGGAACUGCCUGGAUAACAGAGAUUAGCUGGUGGGGAGGUGAGAGCAAAAAUAACUCCAGAUUUUAGAACCAGGCUCUGUUUAUUACUUCUUGGCCAUUCGCCAGGCAUUUCACAUAGAUCAGUUCAUUCAGGUGUAUCCUAAUUCUAUAAGGUUGGUAUUUUUGUCCAUAUUGCAGAGAUGUAGAAAACCAAGGCUCAGAGAAAGAUUUGUCUAAAGUUGUCCAGAGCUGAUAGGAUAUUGAACAGGGCAUUGCAGGUGUUCCUGAUUUCCAUGCCUGUGUUCUCUCUACUGGGCUUGGAAGAGAGCAGGCGUGAGAGAAAAGGUGAUCUCUCGUUGUUUUGCACAUAUUCAGUGUAGAUGCUGGUGAGAUGUCCGUCAGGUGACUGGAGACACAGAACCGAAUCUCUAGGACAAAGUCAGGAGGACCAGAGCUUAAGAGCCAACUGCAUGUUUAUUUAGCAAAUACUUGUCGAGUGUCCUUUGGACCAGUGCUGCAUGGCAGGAGUACACUGGAAAGCAAACAGGCCAUAGUCUUGAUUCACAGAACCGCAGGCCAGGGAGUGAGACGCCACCCUGUGGGUUGAGUAUAAUGCAGGGGGAAGUGCAGAUUUGCCACGGGAAGAGCCGCUGAGGGGAAGCUAAGCACGUCUGGAGACACAGAAGGUCUCGGAAGAGGUUGUAGUGCUUAACAUGACUCUCGAUGAUGAGUGCCAAGAUAAAGUGGAAAAAGGCCUAUUCGAGGCAGGGGACCUAGAAUGUACUAGACCCACAGGCAAGAGAGAGACACAGUACGUCUGAGGAACUGGACAUGGUAUGCCUGGAACGAGGGAGGAGUAAACCAGAUAAGUUAGAGAGGUGGGCGGCAGCUAGGUUAGGAAAUGCCCCAGAAGAACAAAGGUCAGCAUGCAAGUUUCUGAAGGCAGUCGUGUUGUUGCUGGUACCUGCUGGGGGGGGGGGGGGGGGGGGCGGGGGUCAGAUUUGGGGCUUAGAAUUGUUAGGUUUGGUUACCCUGAGUAACCAGUGGCCUAAGUAAUUGGUGAAUACAGUAAUGGAGAGCUCAAGGACACGAGGUUGCGGCCGAGAGUGGGAUGUCCAGAUUUAUUAUUGCUCAAGUGCAGCCGUUGGAGGGAUGAUGAGAGAAGAAGGUCAUGAGAGCGGGUGGGUGAAGCGGAGGGCAGAGGCCGGCUGUGGGAGGUGAGGGGGUUGAGGAACUAAGAGACUCCGUCCUGUGCUGGAUGUGGGGUUCACGUGGAGGUGGGGUUCACGGAGGUUGUCGGCCCGACUUGGAGCAGAGAAGGUCAGCGUGAAGGUUGGCUGAGGAGGCGUGGAGGCCGGGCACUGAGGUGGGCCCUGAAAACGUGAUUUCCGCAGAUCAUGUGACGGCGUUAGUGAACGAAGACGAGCAAGGGCACAAAGACAGAGUGAGUAGGACCCGGGGCCAGGGGUGGGAGGAGAUCAGGAAGGUGUUUUCAAAGAGGAAAACAGGGAAGUUCAGAGUCCCGAAGGCCAGAGGAGGUCCAUGCCAAAGAAGGAGGCGUUGAGCAGCAGCCACUAACUCAGGGCUCAGGAGGAAAGGACUGGCGAGGGAUCCUCCGGCCGGCGAGCGCAGAGCGUUCGUUGACUCAAGGAGUGUAAGGGAAUCCCCAAGUACAGGCAGCGAGUAUAACCCCCACUUGCAACACAUUUUUGGUUGGAAGAAAAGAAGAAGAGGCAUAUGGUAGCUUGAGGAAUAAAUCUACUGUAGCAACAAUGAGUCUUGUUACUUUGUUAUUUCUUUGACAGUCUUCUAGGAUUCUCCACUGUGUGUCCUGUUGCUGGUCAAACUGUUUACCCUUUCCAUGCUUCGUUUGUCAGACGAGUACCUGCCUCAUGGGGCUGUCGUAAGGAGUAAAUAAAUGGGUUGUAAAGCGCUGCCUUGGACACAGUAAGUGAUACACAAAUGAAGGUGAAAGAAAGCAAAGAAGGAAGCAGAUACCUACGUUACAAUAAUUGAUCAUAUGUAUUAUAUGUAACAUGUAACAUGCACACAUGCGCCCUCGCAUUUUAGGCACUUACCCCUGAGUCUUCACGAUAAUUCUGUAAUGUGAGUGAAACAGAGGCCCUGAGAGUUGCAGGGAACUUAUUCCAGGGCGUGCUGCUGACGAGCGGUCAUCCCGGGAGACAGGGCCCCGUCUCCCGACUCGGGAGUCGGUGGCCCUCGCACUGAGCCAGGCUGCGUCCUUGGGCUGUUGCAGGAAGAGCGCUGGACCUGCAGCUUCACAGAAGCAGCUGAGGGCAGCUCUUCUGGGUGUGGUGUGCACUGUGCUCUCCACACAGCCCCCGCCCCGUUGGUGUCACCCCUCUGUGCUGCGUACUCGGCUGGUACCGGCGCUGAGUUUGCAACCCUUGUUCCAAAGGCUUGGUCCCCUGUGACUGGAGUGCCUUCCUUCUCCUGACUCAUCCUGCCGUGCAGAUGACUUCGUCUUCUGCAUCUCCUUUACAGGGUUUCUUCAGACUUAGAAUUCACCUCUAAAGAAGGGGGUGCCUCGUCAGAAUUUCUUGCCUCUAGUCUCAUCUCAGAGUGAAAUUGCUGUGCGUUCUAGAGAAUUUUCCCACCGGAAGGAACCGUCUGAACAUCAUCUCUUUUGCAAGGAUGGUGUGAUGGUCAGUCUUACGUGUCAGCUUUAGCUAGGUCACGGUACCCAGCUAUCUGGUGAAACCCCAGUGUGCGUGUCACGGUGCAGAUAGACGUCAUUUAGUUUUAGAUGAGGUUGAACAUUGAAGGCAGUAAACUCUGAGUAAAGCAAAUGAUCCCGUAUAAUUACCCUCAUCCAGUUGUGACAGCCUUAGAGAAAAAGAUUGGUCCCCCUGCCCCCACCGCCACCAAGGAAGAGGGAAUUCUGUCUCCAGACAGCCCUCCACUCCAGCUGGACUGCAGCACAGCUCUUCUCUGGGUCACCAUCCUGAGUGUGGGUUUGCCAACCCCCAUAAUCGCCUGAGCCAGUUCCUUAAAAUAAAUCUCUCCGUCAUUCUCCAUCUCUCUCUGCACCAUACGUGCACACUGAGACAGACAGACACACACACACACACACACACACACACACACACACACACGUGCGCACAUCCUAUUUGUUUCUCUGGAGAACCUUUAUUAUAGAUAGGAAAAUACAGAAAUUGAAAUUGCUUAGCUGCUGUUGAUAGUAGCAAAAAGCUGCAUCAGCUCUCUCGGCAUUCUUGGUGUACAUGUGUGUGCAUGUGUAUAUACAUACGUUGUAUACAUACAUGUACAUAUAUAUAUAUACACACACACACACAUACACUUUUAUUUAUGAUUUGUUGUAUAGAUGGGAAAGUGAAUUGUAGAAAGGAUGUGGGGUACUCAGUGUGAUGCAUAAACUUGAUGGGAGAGUUAAAGAAAGAACUUGAUUUCCUCUGGUGUGUUUCAGUUGUUGUCUUGCUAUUUGGCUCUCAUGGUUUUUUUGUUUUUAUAAUAAAGUUACUGGGUUUGCCAUACAUAAUUAUUGCUAACAUUUAUGGAAUAUUUUCUAUAUGUUGGGUACUAAUCUAAUUGCUUUAUAGCUGUUUAUGAUUUUUAUCCAUACAACUACCCAGUGAGAUAGGAUCUAAUAUUAUCCUCAUAUUACAGAUUUUUUUAAUGUUUAUUUAUUUUUGAGAGAGAGAGAGAGAGAAGCAGAGUGCAAGUGGGGGAGGGACAGAGAGAGAGGGAGACACAGAAUCUGAAGCAGGCUCCAGGCUCCGAGCUGUCAGCACAGAGCCCGAUACAGGGCUCGAACUCAAGGACUGCUAGAUCAUGACCUGAGUCAAAGUCAGACACUUAACCGACUGAGCCACCCAGGCACCCCCCCUCAUAUUACAGAUUUGAAACACUGAGUCCCAGUGAGCAAGAUGGUCACUGCUGUGGAGAACUGAGUGAUGGAGAGUGCUUAGGGCCCCGGCAGCCUGGCUCCAGAGGUUGUGUUCCUAACCAUUCCUUCUGCCCUACUGCUUCUCAGCAUAAGACGUCUUGAGCAGAGCUCUUCAUCUGUCCUUGUGGAGUCACCAUCCAGAACAGUCCUUAUGGUAGCGGUACUUUCCGUAGGGUUUGUUUUAAAAGAGAAAAUGCUUGGGGCGCCUGGGUGGCUCAGUCUGUUAAGCGUCCGACUUCGGCUCAGGUCGUGAUCUCGCGGUUCGUGAAUUCAGGCCCCAUGUCGGGCUCUGUGUUGACAGCUCGGCACCUGGAGCCUGCUUCGGAUUCUGUGUCUCCCUCUCUCUCUCUGCCCCUCCCCUGCUCAUGCUCAUGCUCAUGCUCUGUCUCUGUCUUCGUCUCUGCCUCUGUCAAAAAUAAAUAACAUUAAAAAGAUAAAAAAUAAUAAAAGAGAAAAUACUUAUAAGUUAUAUCAGUUAUAAGAGGCCAUCUAAUACCUGCAUGCUACCUCCUUGAGAAACAGAGAACAUACCCAUUGCAACAAUGGUAUGGGCCUCUUGCUGGGGUAAACUUCUGGCAACUAGACUUUCCUGUCUAGCUUGGUAACCAUCUAAUUUGUAAAAAUCAUACAGAAAUGUGAUAGAGUGGUGAUGUGGUUUAGUUUCUUGUCCAGCAAUUUGGUGAGUGUCCCGGGGAAGGAGAUGGCACGCUUCUGUGUGUAUGUCCCUUGGUUCUCUGCAGGAAUAACCAUCACAACUGCCAUUUACUGGGCCUUGUGUGCACCAGGAACUGCUACAAGUGCUUUACAAACAUGCCUCAUGGAGUCUUCUCAACAUUAUCCUUCCGUUUUACGUUUAAGGCAGUGAUGAGGGAGUUCAAGAAUGUUUCCGCGGUAAGCGGCACAGCAGGACUUAAACUUCACCUUAAUGACACCAGCCAGGGCUCUCAGUCUCUCUGCUGUAUAUCCCUGAGACCCACUACUCUUCCCUGCUAGACUGUAAGCUCCGUGAGGACAGGAACUUUUUGUUUCACUGGGUUCACCACCAUAUUUGAGCAUCUACCAAGUGCACUGCCUGACACAUAGUAGGUACUUAGCGCCUGAUGUUGAGCGACGAACUCACUGUGUUCUCUGUGAUCGCCACCAGCCAGCUGUGGGCCAGGUAGAGAGCACCGACUUGGGAAGGGUACUGUGGACUCCUGCAGAUUCAGCCCUCAGGUACCUGUUGGAGGAUAUUUUCUCUGUGUCUCAAGAUGAGCAUAUCAGCCUGACCUUCAGGUAGAUACUGCAUAGCUCUGCCAAUAGUCUCCUUCCCCAGAGAAAUCUAAAUGAUGUUAUGUACGUCCCUGUCAUUAGAAUUCAGGACUGAUAUUUUAUAGCUUGUACUCUAUACUGAUCUGGACAACAUCUGAAUAAUAUUGGUGCUUUUUAAGGAAACAUCAAAUUAUAAAUUACAUAUAAAUAGUUUUAAUUUCUAAUGAUUUUUUUUUUUUUUUUUUGAGAGAGAGAGAGAGAGAGAGAAAGUGAGCAGGGGAGGGGCAGAGAGAGGGGGACAGAGGAUCCAAAGCAGGUUCUGUAUUGACAGCAGCAAGCCCAGUGUGGGCUCAAACUCAUGAACUGUGAGAUCAUGACCUGAGCCAAAGUUGGAUGCUCAAACCGACCGAGCUACCCAGGUGCCCCAUCAAAUUAUAUCUUUUCAAGACAUUCCCAAAGGUCUCUGUUUCUUCCAUUUUUCCAGAUCUCUCCCUCUCUCUUGUGUCUUUCUUUCUUCACACAUGCACUCGCACACACACACCCGCACUCAAACAUGCACUCACACACACUCACACACUACUCCUACAUGUACACGCAUGUACAUGUGUUCACACUCAUACCCCUUAUUUUCUCACUAAUUAACGAAUCUUCUUUGUAAAUACUUUGUAACCACUUUAUAAACCAAAACUGCAUUACUUACAUUUAUAUAUUGUCCCAUUUUUUCCUCAAAGUUUAGUUUCUUUGCUUCGCAUAACUGGACACUAAGUAUUGCAAUCUGCACCAUUAUGUAAGCUUAUUUUUCCUCUUGGAAAUGGUAAAUUAUGAUGAGUUUGAUAAAAAAUACAAAUCAGAAUAAGCAGCAUUCAGUACUUAGCCUUCUAGUCUAGCCUAUAUUUGUGCAGGUGUAUGAUUAUUUAUGCAGACCUAUAGUAAAUAGUGUGAAUUUUCUUUGCAAAACAAAUGGUACGGUCCAGAAGAAUCACCUCUGGGCUUGUAUGUUUUGUAAACUACGUGGGUCUGUAUACACACUUGACUUGUGAGCCACAGUUUAUUCCUUUUAUAUUUUUUUCACCUUAAAAAAACCCUACAUGGCAAGAAACUCCAUUAUUAUUAGUAUAAAAAGCCUUAUAAUUUAUAGCCAAAUCAAGGCCAGGAAAGAAUGCAGAUUCACUCAGUAAAAACUCAUUAACAGCCUGCUCUGUACCAGAAUGCACUUCCUUGUAGCUUUGGAAAGCCUCAUAGUAGGGCAGUUUCUGUUUGAGAAUGAACAGUCACAAGAGCAAGGCAGAUAUAGACGAGAAUGUAAUUUUCCAAAAUUUAAAUGAGGGGUGGUAGAGUAUACAUCCAAACAAAAUACAGGGGCACCUGGGUGUCUCAUCUGACUUCAGUUUAGGUCAUGAUCUCAUGGUUCUUGAAUUCAAGUCCCACAUCAGGUGAACAUGAAUCCUGCUUCGGGUGAGCCCUCCUUCUCUCUCUCUUUCUCUCUCUCUCUCCCCCCCUCCCCCACCCUCCUCUCACUCUCUCUCUCUCUCUCUCUCUCUCUCUGCCCCUCGUGGGAUUCUCUCUCUCCCUUUCUCUCUCCCUCUCUCUACCCCUUGCUCACUGGCACCCUCUCUCUCUCAAAACAAAACAAAAUACAGUCCUAUGAGAGUUACAAAAGUAAUAGAUAAAUUUGAAAAAAAUGUACCUUUGCAAUCUUCUCAAACUUAAAUUUUUUCUGGCAUUCCUCUUUUUGAAUCUGUAUGCUGAAUUGUUUAUUCUUUUUUUUAGUAGGAAGGAAGAAAACGUUCUCCUUAGGAAUUUAUUAGAAAUUAAAAUUAAUUUCAGCAUUUAGUAUUCUUUAGACUAUGAUGGAGGCUGAUUUGAAAGGGUGUGUUUAGUUGGAUCGGCCAUGGAGAAAGAGAACAAGCAGUUGUCCUGGCCAGUACGUCUUUGCUACGAUGGGGAAAUGGCGUUGCUUUAACCUUUAUUUAUUUUUGAGAGAGACAGAGACAGAGUGCCAGCUGGGGAGGGGCAGAGAGAGAGGGAGACACAGAAUCUGAAGCAGGCUGUGGGCUCUGAGCUGCCAGUACAGGGCUCGAUGUGGGAUUUGAACUCAUGAACCUUGAGAUCAUGACCUGAGUUGAAGUCGGACGCUUAACUGACUGAGCCACCCAGGCGGUCCAAGAAAUGGCGUUGCUUUAAUUGCAUCUCUUUCAUUGCCUUCCUUGCCAAGCCCAGUGGCUCCUGUUAUAACAUGUGGUGACUUUUCCCUUGGAGACUAACUCGCUCCAAGUUACCGUAAUAUUUAGGACCAGCUACAAAGACAUUUCUUCCCCUAAACCCAUGCCAAAUCUAAAUCAAACUAUCGUCUCCUCCCUGGCCACUCAAAUAGACCCGGCUCGUAUUUGAAAAGGACAAGAAAUGCACAGGCCUCUCAUGCCUGUUUGAACAGAUAGAUAAACAAGGCACAUCAUGCCUAGUGUUGCUUUGAGCUUGGUCAUUUCCUUCUAGAAUAGACUCUGAUACUAUGUUCACUUAAGACUUGGAACUUAGAUGUUCUAGAAAGAAGCAUAUUUUAAGUCUAGCUACAGCAAAUUUAGUCUGCUGUCAGUGCUGAUGCAGGAAAGAAGAGUAAAUCUAAAAUCAUGGGCCUUCAAUAGGUGUGGCUCUGAGCUUCUCCUACACAAACCUCAGUCUGGAGUGCGGGCAGGUCAGCUAGACGUCCCCCUCCUUAGUGGCCGCAGGUUGUCUGCUCACCACAGGUAAUGCUAAACAAAUAAUGCUAAUCCUUUUUGUUUUGAAGAAGGCAAGACUGGGUGGCUCGGUCGGUUGAGCAUCCGGCUUCAGCUCAGGUCAUGAUCUCACGAUUUGUGGGUGCGAGCCCCACAUCGGGCUCUGUGCUGACAGCUCAGAGCCUGGAGCCUGCUUUGAACUCUGUGUCUCCCUUUCUCUCUGCUCCUCCCCCACUCAUGUUCUGUUUCUCUCUCCUUCAAAAAUAAAUAAAAACAUUGAAAAGAAGAAAAAGAAAAAAAAUUUAAAAAGAAGGCAAGCCUAGCAAAAUAGGAAAAAUAUUCCUGAUAAAUAAAUUUGUUCUGACCUGUAAACCUGGUGUAUUUCAGUCAUCCUUGAUCAAGUGGUUCUGUUCCAUAACCAGCAUCAUUAGUAUACAUUAAUUUCUUCCUAGUUUUAGCAAGAUUGACUUCCUGUGCUGCUUAGCUAUGUAACUUUCAACACAAUUCAGGUUUAUAGAUUGUAUUUCUUUUUAAUUGAUUGAUUAUUUUAUAUAUACAGAAGAUUAUGUGUAACAUCUAUAAGCAAGCGCUAAAAAUAAUUUCAAAAAAAAUGUGCUCCAGUGAACCACCACCCAAUUUAAGAAUUUAGAACAUGACAGAUACUUUUGGAUCUCUACUUCAUUCUGUCCAUUCUCUGCCUUCCUCACAAUUCUGAAAUUUGUAUUUAGAAUUCUCUUGAGUGUUUUUAACAAAUGUAUAUUUCAUCACAUAAAUGUACAUUGCUGCAGGUGUUUUGAGAUGGGUAGAUAGGUACGCAGUUUUUUGCAGCUUAUGAAAAUUUUCCUCCAUAUUAUAAUGUUUAUAAAAUUCAUUCGUGUUGUCGGGGGCGUGGAGUAGCUGUUCCCUCAUAUACAUUGCUGCAGCAUUCCAGUGUGUGUGCAUAUAUCCUGGUUCACCCGUUGUCUUGUUUACGGGGGGAGGAGAACAAGACAGGGAGUCUCGUUUUGGACAUGUUGACUUUGAGACGUCUGUUACAAUCCUCAGGGAGACGCCGGGUCGACGGUGGAUAUUGAGGUCUAUAAUUCAGGAGAGAGAGCUGAGCCAGAGAUACCAGCACGUGGACGGCAUGGAAAUCGUUACUUCCCCAGCUGUUCCUAGAGUCUCCAUUGAGAUACUUACUUAAGAGACUUUUUUUUUUUUUCUUAAAACUUCUUUUCGGUUUUGUUUUUUCCAAUCUGCCUGGUGUCUUUGCCGAAGUGUGACUUGUGAGAGAAUAAAUGAGAAUAUGAGCUUCAGAGAAAAUAGGGAAAGCGUUCUGCAGACUCUGAAGGGUCGUGUAAAGGUUAGGUGUUGUUAUUAUUACCUGUCUCACACAGUCGCGUGAGGUACAAAUGAAACUGUAUAUAUAAAAUGGCUUUGUAAUAUGGAAAAAUACAUAUUUAAUUAUACUUGAUGUUUAUGCCUUGUUAACUUUUGGCUGUGAGCUGAUACUCGCCUCCCCAAGUGCAGACAAUAACUCAGCGAAUCUUCACAACCAUGUGUGCCCAAUAGAUCCUAUUUCUUCCUAUUUUACAUAUGUGCAAACUAAAGCUCAUAAAUGGUGGACCCAGGAUUCAAAUCCGUAGAGUUGGCUCCUAAAAGCUGUGCUCUUGGCUGCUGUGUGGGACUGCCCCCCUUUUAAAUAAGUUUCAUCCAGUUCCUUCAGCUUCAAGAUGUAAAAAAUUUUAGGGACGUAUUUCAGGGUGGCCACUUAGACCCUGGCUAAAACAUGGCGCUCCAGGCAGGGGCUCCUGGCAAAGGGCUUUGUCUGUACUGAGUUUCACCAUUGAACCUGGCCUCAGACCUCACAGAGCACUGCCCACCUACCAAGUGUCCAUUCUGUGCCUGUUGAAUAUGAUGUCUACUUGAUUUAAGCGAUUUUGCCUGCAGCCACCCAGUGAGUCAGUAGUGGGCCAGGGACUAGAAUCUGGGUCUCCUGCCUCUCAAGCAUCACAUUUGUUUGGUAUUAAUAAACCAUAUUUCUCCAGGGGAUCUGGCAGAAAUUUGAAAGUGCUUAAUUUUACUGCAAUAAAUACUAAGAAUCCUUUUUAAAGCAAGGAAGCCAAGCCCCAACCAGGGAAAACCCGAUUUGCUCUGAGGGCCUUUGACAAACCCACACUGGCACUAGGGUUAGAUCAUAGAUUAUUGGCUUCGAUUCCAUCUCCCUCCAGGGCUUUCUGCAGGGGUUAAGACCUCUGUUAUGGCCACAGGCCGCAGCUGGACCAGGAAAUACUCUUGCACAUGAAGCUGGAAUGCACAGUGUUUUCUACCCACAGAGUCAGCAGGUCACGGCCGAUUGCCAACAGGAGGGCGUGAUGGCAAAGGUUACAUUCCUGGCACACUGCUGAUGCAGGUCGGGACCCAGGUGAAUCAGCCCGGCUGUCGGAAGGGAGACCUCUCUGCCUUUCUCACUGUGAUGGGUGCUGUGCUGUUAGCUUCCUGUGUUUGUGAGUGCAUGGUAUUUUCUAAAGCCACAUCCGGCAAGGAAAAGGUGUGGGCAUCCAGGAGGUGGGAGAGGAGCAUCUGAGUUACAAACGACUUGAGUGCAGAGAGUGAAGGGGGUGAUUUAUUUUGCCAUCAGAAGACUGCUAGACAUGCGGCGGACCCUCAGCUAGCAGUUGAUUUUGAUAAAUUGAUUGAGAAGCAACUGAGAGAAAGGUUUCGGCAAGAUGAAAGCUGAAUUUCCAAGGUUGGUCUGACUGCGUUCAGACGGGAGCUGGGUUUGAAUGUAUUUUUCACAAGGGCGAUUACCACGGGAGACCCACAGUAUUGGUGUACAAAAGGCACGCGUUCUUUCUUUUAAUUCUCACGAUUCCCAGGGCAGGUGACAGAAGGUUACGUCUGUCUCACCAGAAGGGCUUCAGGCAGUUGUGGCAAAAGCGGACCAGAUGAGGGCUGUUCUCAGCUCAGCGGCUUGUGUUUUCUGCCACUAACCGUUCCUGGACAGGAUACUUCAAACCAUACUGGUCUGUUUGGACUUUUCCUUUCCCUUAAGAAAACGUCAGCGUUCACACUUUCUCUGUGGUGCACGUGAUUUUGCUGCCACUUCCUGCCGCCCAUGUCACCUGCAGAGACUGAGCAGUGAGGCCCGCAAGGAGGCGUGCGCGGCCUCAGAUCUGGGGCUCUUUGAGCCUGGCGAGUCCUUACCUGUCCUGCAUGGAUCACACUGCCCACUUGGGGUAUGUUGUGUGAAGGGGAACACUGCGGGGGCUCCCUCUCGGAGCCAGGCGCCUGAUCGGGGUUCACAAGGAUCCCCUUGGAGACGUACUCGCCUUCCUAGCCGUUGAGUCUGAGGUUGUCCUGACCCCAGUGACCCUGCUUAUUGUUGGCAAAUGGUUUGCUCAUUGACCGGGGUCUUAUGUGAGUAGUAAAAAUGGAAAGGAUUUUUUUUUUUAAUUUCUGUAUUUUUUAAGUAGCAGUAUUGAAUUUUUUUUAAUGUUUAUUUGGAGAGAGAGAAAGAGAUACGGAGAGAGUAGGAAAGAGAGAGAGAGGGAGGGGGAGAGAGAGAAUCUCAAGUCGGCUCCACGCUGUCAGUGCAGAGCCCAACGCUCGAUCCCACGAACCGUGAGGUCGUGACCUGAGUCGAAACCAAGAGUUGGACGCUCAACCGACUGAACCACCCGUGUGCCCCGGGAAGGGUUUCUGGACAACUAGUUCUUCCUGCACAUAAAUUGAUCCAAAGUUAAAAGUGGGGCUUUGUGUUUCCAGUGUAUGUUGAAUGAAUAAAAAGGGAAGAAACUCUCUACCUUUAUCACAAUUUUAAACCAUCCACUUAGAGAAACGGCUCUGUAUUUACAAACAGGUAACUUGAAAGGUCAGUAAGCAGAGCAACCUGCUUUAAGUGGCUGUUGUAUAGACACAACGUAAAAGAUGUAGGAGCAAAUUAUUCCUCACUUCUGUGCUUCUGUGUCAUAAAUAAUCAUUUUAAUUUAAUGCUAAAAGAUCCCUUGGGGUUAUGAGAUUUUAUGAGGUAAUAGUUACAGAGACUUUUAAAAUCAAUGAGUGUAAAAUCUGAUGAAACUGUGAAAGUCUUCCUUCUGUUUACUGAAGCUGGAACUACCAUGGCUCCUGUUGAGACAUGUCUUCCCUUCCUUUCCACUUCUCUCUUCUUCCCUCCUCCCCUCCCCCUUCCUUUCCCUUCCUUUCCCUUCCUUUCCCUUCCUUUCCCUUCCUUUCCCUUCCUUUCCCUUCCUUUCCCUUCCUUUCCCUUCCUUUCUCUUCCCUUUCCCUUCCCCUUCCCCUUCCCCUUCCCCUUCCCCUUCCCACGUUGCAUCCAGCCACAGUGUUGAUCCAAAGAUAACACAGACAUUACUCCUGCCUUCGUGGGAUUCACAAGCUAGUGGAAGAAGCAGGUGGCAUGCAAGCAUGCAAAGGCAGCUGCAGGUUAUGAUGUACCAUGAAGGACAAGACCAUUAUUACGGUGACAAAUCUAGAGAACACCAGCAUGUUACUCUCUGUGAACAUACUCAGAACCUCAGGAUAAUGACAGAACUGAUCUCUUGUUACCUAUUAGAGGGUAGAUUUGUAAGCAUAAAGACCUUGGUUUUAUAAAGUAUCUAGUAAAGAAACACUCUUGGAGAUUAGUAUUAUGAGUUUGUUUUCCUAUAGGUAAAGAAUACAUAGGUAGGUACACUGAUACACAGAUGUAAACGUACAUAGACACUUAACAUCCAAAGUUUUUCCUAAUAAGCACAAGUGACAGUGUAUGGAAACUUAAUUUUUCCCGUGUGCAUUGUAGGAUCAGAUGAUGGCGUUGGUUGAGUUGUGAUAGACUGGAGGAGAAAAAUCUUUUUAAUUUUUUUUUUUUUUCCACAAAUACAGUUAGAGCUAGGAUAUACAUAUUCUCUACCAUUUUCAAAGAGGAAUUGGAAAAAAGAGCGGUCAUUUCUGUGGUGUUUACAAUGGCUGUCUGAUCUAAAGAAAAUUCAUACAACAAUCCCAUCAGUGCCCUUAGACGGAAAACAGGGAUCAGGUCUGCUGUUCAUACAAGACUCAAUGGGCGAGAGAGCGUGGAUGGAUGUAAGGAAGGCACCAUCCCUGAGAGUGGCCACCCUGGGUGGCAGGUCGGCCGGCACAGGAAUACCUUCUAAACGCGGGUACCUUUGCACGUGUGCUGGGGGCUGCUCGGCCCUGCGCGUUUCCGAUUUCCUGUUGGAAAGAGGGAUUUGGCCUCAGGUUCUUCCCAGUCGUCACUCAUCAUGCUUAAAGUAAGCAGAAAACAGUGCCUUCAGCUCAGGGAAUGGGUCCGCUGUCCAUUAAUUCUCAGAUCUGUCUUUGAGUCCCCUGGGGGACAAAUGUUGUGUCUUUUUCUUUGGCCUCCCGACUAAACGCAGCCAGGGUUUUUAAACCGACUAAUUUUCAAAGAUUUGCUAACAGAGUAGCAAUAGGAGUGGAAUACUAGACCUUUGAAAGCUGGUUCACGUUUGUGGUUGAUGCUGUAUUUUUAAGUGAUUUAAAAACGAACACCUCAUUUUAAUAAUAGUUCACUUCACUGUCCUUCUCACCACCGUCAUUUCCAUGAGGUUCUAGGUCUUUUGUGAGCAAAUUAAACACGGUACUUUCUUUAUGGCAUGAAUUAAAUCUAGACCCCAAUGAUAUUUGGCACUUUCUAAAUACCCAGAUGGGCACAGCGUUUGCCUUGAAGUGAAGACGUGCGCAGGGUUUUAAUCAACAUCAUGUUUUAUUUUUUCCUCUUUUAAAUAUCGCCUUUUCAAUAGUUGCUCCUUAAUGAAUGACCGAGUGUUUACUGUGGUUUAUAACCAGAAAUUUGAACAUCAGAAAAUUCUAACCAAGAUCAGGAUGAAAAAAAAUUUCCCCUCUCAUUCUCUCAUCCCUUACAUUAGACAAAAAUAAAUUGUCUUACUUAAGUUUGAGAAA